AGUGAACGCUGGCGGUAGGCCUAACACAUGCAAGUCGAACGGCAGCACAGUAAGAGCUUGCUCUUACGGGUGGCGAGUGGCGGACGGGUGAGGAAUACAUCGGAAUCUACUUUUUCGUGGGGGAUAACGUAGGGAAACUUACGCUAAUACCGCAUACGACCUACGGGUGAAAGCAGGGGAUCUUCGGACCUUGCGCGAUUGAAUGAGCCGAUGUCGGAUUAGCUAGUUGGCGGGGUAAAGGCCCACCAAGGCGACGAUCCGUAGCUGGUCUGAGAGGAUGAUCAGCCACACUGGAACUGAGACGCGGUCCAGACUCCUACGGGAGGCAGCAGUGGGGAAUAUUGGACAAUGGGCGCAAGCCUGAUCCAGCCAUACCGCGUGGGUGAAGAAGGCCUUCGGGUUGUAAGGCCCUUUUGUUGGGAAAGAAAAGCAGCAGGUUAAUACCCCGCUGUUCUGACGGUACCCAAAGAAUAAGCACCGGCUAACUUCGUG
rnacentral:rRNA from 1 species